GUGGGGAAUUUUGGACAAUGGGGGCAACCCUGAUCCAGCCAUUCCGCGUGAGUGAAGAAGGCCUUCGGGUUGUAAAGCUCUUUCGGCAGGAAAGAAAUCGCCGCUCCUAACAAGGGCGGUGGAUGACGGUACCUGAAGAAGAAGCACCGGCUAACUACGUGCCAGCAGCCGCGGUAAUACGUAGGGUGCGAGCGUUAAUCGGAAUUACUGGGCGUAAAGUGUGCGCAGGCGGUUUUGUAAGACAGGUGUGAAAUCCCCGGGCUUAACCUGGGAACUGCAUUUGUGACUGCAAGGCUAGAGUGCGUCAGAGGGAGGUGGAAUUCCGCGUGUAGCAGUGAAAUGCGUAGAGAUGCGGAGGAACACCGAUGGCGAAGGCAGCCUCCUGGGAUGACACUGACGCUCAUGCACGAAAGCGUGGGGAGCAAACAGGAUUAGAAACCCGGGUAGUCC
rnacentral:rRNA from 1 species